rnacentral:rRNA from 1 species
AUUGAACGCUGGCGGCAGGCCUAACACAUGCAAGUCGAACGAGUGGCGGACGGGUGAGUAAUGUCUGGGAAACUGCCCGAUGGAGGGGGAUAACUACUGGAAACGGUAGCUAAUACCGCUAGCCAUCGGAUGUGCCCAGAUGGGAUUAGCUAGUAGGUGGGGUAAUGACUCACCUAGGCGACGAGCCGUAGCUGGUGUGAGAGGAUGACCAGCCACACUGGAACUGAGACACGGUCCAGACUCCUACGGGAGGAAGCAGUGGGGAAUAUUGCACAAGGGGCGCAAGCCUGAUGCAGCCAGGCCGCGUGUAUGAAGAAGGCCUUCGGGUUGUAAAGUACUUGCAGCGAGGAGGCGUUACUCGCAGAAGAAGCACCGGCUAACUCCGUGCCAGCAGCCGCGGUAAUUC